CGCUCCUCUCUCUCUCUCUUCGGCGAUUCCAGAUCUGGAUCUAGGGUUUUCUCCAUCACGUUUCUACUACUCCAAUUCCUCAUGGAAAUCAUACAGUCCUCUCAAAAUCAAACUCAAGUCUAGGUUUUGAACUUCACGGAGAGUUGAAGAUGAUGCAAGCUGUUGUUUUAAUUGGUGGUGGUUAGCAAUGAUAGAGAUGGUGGUGGUCUGCGGCUUGUGGUGGUAAUGGUUAGCGUCAACAGAUUCUGGUGACCCAACCUAGGGUUUAGAGUUUCGACCAGAUUCUGGUAGCCCUAUAUAGGGUUCUGACCAUAACCCUAAUCCGGUGAAAGUUGUAGAUCUGGUCAGUAAGGGAAUGACAACGAAUCUGCUUUCAGUUGCAAACUCUAUAGUAUCAUUAGGUAAAGAUUGAAACAUGAAGAUUUCUCCCAGAUCCGAUUUAGGUCUUGCAGAUCUGUCAUUAAUCGGAAGGUUACGAAUCAAAAGAUGUACCUCAGCUUCUGGACAUCAUCUUUACCAAAGAGUGGCGGGUGGGGUUCACCAGACCAAACAUGUACACAGGUAGGCUCAUUGCCCUUAUUUUUCAGUGGGUCAUUGCCGAGUAGAGUUUACUCAUGCUUCUUCAUGUAAAUUCUUCCUCAUAUUUAUGUUUAUUUUUGUUACGAUCUGGUUAAUUUGGGA